rnacentral:rRNA from 1 species
CCUACGGGGGGCAGCAGUGGGGAAUAUUGGACAAUGGGGGCAACCCUGAUCCAGCCAUGCCGCGUGUGUGAAGAAGGCCCUCGGGUUGUAAAGCACUUUCAGUGAGGAAGAACGCCUGGUGGUUAAUACCCAUCAGGAAAGACAUCACUCACAGAAGAAGCACCGGCUAACUCCGUGCCAGCACGCCGCGGUAAUACGGAGGGUGCGAGCGUUAAUCGGAAUUACUGGGCGUAAAGCGCGCGUAGGUGGCUUGAUAAGCCGGUUGUGAAAGCCCCGGGCUCAACCUGGGAACGGCAUCCGGAACUGUCAAGCUAGAGUGCAGGAGAGGAAGGUAGAAUUCCCGGUGUAGCGGUGAAAUGCGUAGAGAUCGGGAGGAAUACCAGUGGCGAAGGCGGCCUUCUGGACUGACACUGACACUGAGGUGCGAAAGCGUGGGUAGCAAACAGGAUUAGAUACCCCGGUAGUC